rnacentral:rRNA from 1 species
UACGAAGGGGGCUAGCGUUGCUCGGAAUCACUGGGCGUAAAGCGCACGUAGGCGGACUCUUAAGUCGGUGGUGAAAUCCUGGAGCUCAACUCCAGAACUGCCUUCGAUACUGGGAGUCUUCGAGUCCGGGAGAGGUGAGUGGAACUGCGAGUGUAGAGGUGAAAUUCGUAGAUAUUCGCAAGAACACCAGUGGCGAAGGCGGCUCACUGGCCCGGUACUGACGCUGAGGUGCGAAAGCGUGGGGAGCGAACAGG